AACGAACGCUGGCGGCAUGCCUAACACAUGCAAGUCGAACGAGACCUUCGGGUCUAGUGGCGCACGGGUGCGUAACGCGUGGGAAUCUGCCCUUGGGUUCGGAAUAACUUCGGGAAACUGAAGCUAAUACCGGAUGAUGACGUAAGUCCAAAGAUUUAUCGCCCAAGGAUGAGCCCCGCGUAGGAUUAGCUAGUUGGUGAGGUAAAGGCUCACCAAGGCGACGAUCCUUAGCUGGUCUGAGAGGAUGAUCAGCCACACUGGGACUGAGACACGGCCCAGACUCCUACGGGAGGUAGCAGUGGGGAAUCUUAGACAAUGGGGGAAACCCUGAUCUAGCCAUGCCGCGUGAUCGAUGAAGGCCUUAGGGUUGUAAAGAUCUUUCAGUGGGGAAGAUAAUGACGGUACCCACAGAAGAAGCCCCCGGCUAAACUCCGUGCCAGCAGCCGCGGUAAAGUGACUACUG
rnacentral:rRNA from 1 species